rnacentral:rRNA from 1 species
UACGGGGGGAGCAAGCGUUGUUCGGAUUUACUGGGCGUAAAGGGCGCGUAGGCGGCCACCGCAAGUCGACUGUGAAAUCUCCGGGCUUAACCCGGAAAGGUCAGCCGAUACUGCGGGGCUAGAGUGCAGAAGGGGCAACUGGAAUUCUCGGUGUAGCGGUGAAAUGCGUAGAUAUCUGGAGGAAUACCGGUGGCGAAGGCGGCAUCCUGGACCGGCAUUGACGCUGAGGAGCGAAAGCCAGGGGAGCAAACGGG